GACGAACGCUGGCGGCGUGCUUAACACAUGCAAGUCGAACGGAAAGGCCCUGCUCUUGUUGCUUUCUCGAUUGGCGAACGCGUGAGUAACACGCGAGUAUCCUGCCCUUGACUUUGUGAUAACUUCAGGAGACUGCGGCUAAUACCCGAUAUAAGCUCCUGCUGCGUGGUGUGGGAUGGAAAGUGUCGGCGGUGGGGGAUGGUCUCGCGGCUUAUCAGCUUGAUUGUGGGGUAGGUGCUUACCAAGCCUUUGACGGAUAGCCGGCAUUAGAGGGGGGACGGCGACAUUGGGCCUGCGGUACGGCGCAGAAGCCUACGGUAGGCAGCAGGCGGGAGUAUUACGCAAUGGGCGGACGCGUGUUGCAGCAAUGUCGCGUGCGGGAAGCUGGCUUUCGGGUUGUAAACAGCUUCGGCAGGUGACGAAGAGUGAGUGACGGUAAUGGGUAAAGAAGCACCGGCUAACUACGUG
rnacentral:rRNA from 1 species